rnacentral:rRNA from 1 species
GGCUCAGAACGAACGCUGGCGGCGUGCCUAACACAUGCAAGUCGAGCGAGAAAGUUCCUUCGGGAACGAGUACAGCGGCGCACGGGUGAGUAACACGUAGGUAACCUACCCUCGAGCCCGGAAUAACCCGUCGAAAGAUGGGCUAAUGCCGGAUGGGACCACGGUGGUCACGGCCACCGCGGUGAAAGAUGGCCUCUGUUCACAUGCUAUUACUCGAGGAUGGGCCUGCGCGCCAUUAGCUAGUUGGUGAGGUAACGGCUCACCAAGGCGAUGAUGGCUAGCUGGUCUGAGAGGAUGACCAGCCACACUGGGACUGACACACGGCCCAGACUCCUACGGGAGGCAGCAGUGGGGGAUAUUGCGCAAUGGGCGAAAGCCUGACGCAGCGACGCCGCGUGGGUGAUGAAGGCCUUCGGGUCGUAAAGCCCUGUCGAGGGGAACGAAUCAGUUUGGUCCUAACACGGCCAGACCCUGACGGUACCCCUAAAGGAAGCACCGGCUAACUCCGUGCCAGCAGCCGCGGUAAUACGGAGGGUGCAAGCGUUGUUCGGAAUCACUGGGCGUAAAGGGCGUGUAGGCGGUCCGCUAAGUCUGAUGUGAAAGCCCGAGGCUUACCCUCGGAAGUGCAUUGGAGACUGGCGGACUGGAGUCCCGGAGAGGAGGGUGGAAUUCCUGGUGUAGCGGUGAAAUGCGUAGAUAUCAGGAGGAACACCGGUGGCGAAGGCGGCCCUCUGGACGGUGACUGACGCUGAGACGCGAAAGCGUGGGGAGCAAACAGGAUUAGAUACCCUGGUAGUCCACGCUGUAAACGAUGAGCACUAGGUGUCGCGGGUAUUGACCCCUGCGGUGCCGACGCUAACGCAUUAAGUGCUCCGCCUGGGGAGUACGGUC